rnacentral:rRNA from 1 species
UACGGAGGGUGCAAGCGUUAUCCGGAUUCACUGGGUUUAAAGGGUGCGUAGGCGGACAGGUAAGUCAGUGGUGAAAUCUCUGGGCUUAACCCAGAAACUGCCGUUGAUACUAUUUGUCUUGAAUAUCCUGAGGUAGGCGGAAUAUGUCAUGUAGCGGUGAAAUGCUUAGAUAUGACAUAGAACACCGAUAGCGAAGGCAGCUUGCUACACAAUUAUUGACACUGAGGCUCGAAAGCGUGGGGAUCAAACAGG